rnacentral:rRNA from 1 species
AUACGUAGGGGGCGAGCGUUAUUCGGAAUUACUGGGCGUAAAGGGUGCGUAGGCGGCCUUUUAAGUCAGAUGUGAAAGGCUACGGCUUAACCGUAGUUAGCAUUUGAAACUAAGAGGCUUGAGUGCAGGAGAGGAGAGUGGAAUUCCUAGUGUAGCGGUGAAAUGCGUAGAUAUUAGGAGGAACACCAGUGGCGAAGGCGACUCUCUGGACUGCAACUGACGCUGAGGCACGAAAGCGUGGGUAGCGAACAGGAUUAGAUACCCUGGUAGUCCACGCCGUAAACGAUGAGUGCUAGGUGUUGGUGGGGACACCCAUCAGUGCCGCAGCUAACGCAUUAAGCACUCCGCCUGGGGAGUACGGUCGCAAGACUGAA